rnacentral:lncRNA from 1 species
CUGUUUGUAUGGUUUGCACAAAUCAUACAGAAACGGGCCACAGAAAUAUGGAGAAAUAUUAUAAAUGCCAGGUACAUUUUUGACUUGUAAAAUACUGCUGCUAACCCUAAACAUUUAUUCAUGCUUCUUAGUUUAUUGGCAAGAAACUCAUCAAUUUCUCAUAAUCACCUUUCAAAGGAGCUGGUAUAUUAUCCCUCUUUUAUAGGUAAUGGAAGUGAGCCCCAGCAGGGACAUGAGGAUAUCCCUUCCAAAUUGGUGAAGGAAAUUUUCAGGGUGCUUGAAGAACCCAGCAUGCUCACACGCCAACAGCUAAGAUGUUUCAAGAAGCUUCAACUUGGGUUCCAGCGCCAACAAAUAUGUGUGUGACGUGUGAGGUCUCAGGGAACAUCUGGGAAGAUUCCUUGUGGUCCUGGGUGCCCUGUGCCCCCAGACAUCUCUGCCUCCCAUCACUUAAGGAAGCUAAUGGUCUGGAGCCAGCGAAUGCAGACUAACACUGAGGGGUACUUGCUUCCAGCUGCAGUGGCGAUGCACAGGAUCUGGCCAAGUGCUAAAUUUCACUGUAGCAGUGGCUGCUGUCCGGAUAAGUGCUCCUUGUCACUGCUGGACCCUUUCUGAUCCCUAGAUGGCCCGUGCAACCCUCCAGAUUGAGGAGCUUUCAAGGAAGUGAUGAAUUCACUUCAUGGUUCUGAUCUGUAGCUCCGAGUCCCCUGUCUCUGCUGUGCUCUGGGUUUUGGUGGCCUAUUCCUUUCUGUUCAUUCUGCCGCUUUAAGGGGCAAACUCCGUGAUCCUGGCUUCUCUGGAUGAUGAAUCUUCUCCAUUACAGUCAUUUGGGGUAAGUGGUUCUGCUUCAGUGCAGAUUCCUUAUGCUAAUAAUCAUGUCCAGUGGCUCCUGGAGUCCAGCUGUUUCUUAGCCAGACAGCAGAAGUAUCUAUACCCCAUGUUUUUACUGAACGGUGUGAAGAAAAAGGCUUCUCAGAUGGCCCUAGUGGUAAAGAGCCUGCCUGCCAAUGCAGAAAACGCAGCAGGUGCAGGUUCCACCCCUGUGCCUGGAAGGGGUCAGGAAGAUCCCCUGGAGGAGGGCAUGGCAACCCACUCCAGUGUUCUUGUCUGGAGAAUCCUCAUGGACAGGCUACAGUCCAUAGGGUUUCAAAGAGUCAGACGUGACUGAAAAGACAUGAAGAAAAGAGCAUGGCUUUUGAAUUGUACCCACCUGGGUCUGUGCCUUUGUGCAAAUCUUUUACUUCUUAAAAAUCUUGAUUUUCUCCAUCUGCCACAUGGCAGUUCCAUGUAACUUUGAAAAUAAUGCCUCCAGAAACUCCUAGUACAGAGCCUGCUGUGUAGGUGAGGCAUGACAGAAGGCAGCCACUAUGAUUGAUGCAAGCAAGUAAACAAAUUUAGCCUAGAGUAAAUGCAGCAAACUUUGUAAAGGGCCAGAUGAU